CCUACGGGAGGCAGCAGUGAGGAAUCUUGGGCAAUGGGCGCGAGCCUGAACCAGCCAAGUAGCGUGAAGGAUGACUGCCCUACGGGCUGUAAACUUCUUUUAUAAAGGAAUAAAGUGCGGCACGUGUGCCUCUUUGUAUGUACUUUAUGAAUACGGAUCGGCUAACUCCGUGCCAGCAGCCGCGGUAAUACGGAGGAUCCGAGCGUUAUCCGGAUUUAUUGGGUUUAAAGGGAGCGUAGAUGGGUUGUUAAGUCAGUUGUGAAAGUUUGCGGCUCAACCGUAAAAUUGCAAUUGAUACUGGCAGCCUUGAGUACAGUUGAGGUAGGCGGAAUUCGUGGUGUAGCGGUGAAAUGCUUAGAUAUCACGAAGAACUCCGAUUGCGAAGGCAGCCUACUAAACUGCGACUGACAUUGAUGCUCGAAAGUGUGGGUAUCAAACAGGAUUAGAUACCCCUGUAGUC
rnacentral:rRNA from 1 species